UACGGGGGGGGCAAGCGUUGUUCGGAAUUACUGGGCGUAAAGGGCGCGUAGGCGGUUGGAUAAGUCAGCUGUGAAGACCACGAGCUUAACUCGUGGCCUGCAGUUGAGACUGUCUGGCUUGAGUGUGGGAGAGGAGAGUGGAAUUCCUGGUGUAGCGGUGAAAUGCGUAGAUAUCAGGAGGAACACCGGUGGCGAAGGCGGCUCUCUGGACCACAACUGACGCUGAGGCGCGAAAGCUAGGGGAGCAAACAGG
rnacentral:rRNA from 1 species